UGGGGAAUUUUGGACAAUGGGCGAAAGCCUGAUCCAGCAAUGCCGCGUGUGUGAAGAAGGCCCUUCGGGUUGUAAAGCACUUUUGUCCGGAAAGAAAUCCUUGGCUCUAAUACAGUCGGGGGAUGACGGUACCGGAAGAAUAAGCACCGGCUAACUACGUGCCAGCAGCCGCGGUAAUACGUAGGGUGCAAGCGUUAAUCGGAAUUACUGGGCGUAAAGCGUGCGCAGGCGGUUUGCUAAGACCGAUGUGAAAUCCCCGGGCUCAACCUGGGAACUGCAUUGGUGACUGGCAGGCUAGAGUAUGGCAGAGGGGGGUAGAAUUCCACGUGUAGCAGUGAAAUGCGUAGAGAUGUGGAGGAAUACCGAUGGCGAAGGCAGCCCCCUGGGCCAAAUACUGACGCUCAUGCACGAAAAGCGUGGGGAGCAAACAGGAUUAGAUACCCUGGUAGUCCACGCCCUAAAACGAUGUCAACUAGUUGUUGGGGAUUCAUUUCCUUAGUAACGUAGCUAACGCGUGAAGUUGACCGCCU
rnacentral:rRNA from 1 species